UCUGACGGAGCACGCCGCGUGAGCGAAGAAGGUCUUCGGAUCGUAAAGCUCUGUUGUGAGGGAAGAACAAGUACCGGUUUAAUUGCCGGUACCUUGACGGUACCUUACCAGAAAGCCACGGCUAACUACGUGCCAGCAGCCGCGGUAAUACGUAGGUGGCAAGCGUUGUCCGGAAUUAUUGGGCGUAAAGCGCGCGCAGGCGGUCCUUUAAGUCUGAUGUGAAAGCCCACGGCUCAACCGUGGAGGGUCAUUGGAAACUGGGGGACUUGAGUGCAGAAGAGGAAAGCGGAAUUCCACGUGUAGCGGUGAAAUGCGUAGAGAUGUGGAGGAACACCAGUGGCGAAGGCGGCUUUCUGGUCUGUAACUGACGCUGAGGCGCGAAAGCGUGGGGAGCAAACAGGAUUAGAUACCCUGGUAGUCCACGCCGUAAACGAUGAGUGCUAAGUGUUAGGGGGUUUCCGCCCCUUAGUGCUGCAGCUAACGCAUAAGCACUCCGCC
rnacentral:rRNA from 1 species